CCUACGGGAGGCAGCAGUAGGGAANNUUCCACAAUGGACGCAAGUCUGAUGGAGCAACGCCGCGUGAGUGAAGAAGGUUUUCGGAUCGUAAAGCUCUGUUGUUGGUGAAGAAGGAUAGAGUAGUAACUGGCCUUUAUUUGACGGUAAUCAACCAGAAAUCACGGCUAAC
rnacentral:rRNA from 1 species